CUACGCGGAAGUAAACCGCAGUGCCUUCACGCCGCUGCGUUUUUCAUCCGUGAGAAAAUGUCAGCUGCUAUUCGGCGUUCGGUUGUUGCUGUUGAGGAUGUUGAGCUGGUUUGACGGCAAAAACUUGGGCCACGAGUGACUUCACUCGGUCGAUUACACGGACCAUGAUCUGAGCUGCGAAAAACCCCACUGCCAUGUCUCAGCCGGAGUCUGAAGUCACUGUGUGGGACUGGUUAAGUGGUCUUCGCCUCGAACAGUAUUCCAAAGCAUUUGAAGUUGCAGGCCUGUCCACUUUAGCAGAAUGCCAUAACCUCACACCAGGUCGGCUGGAGCAGAUGGGAAUAGCGCUUCCGGGCCACCGGAGACGCAUCCUGGCCAGUCUGAACAAAAGUCGCGAUGUCGCCUCUCCGCAAAUGAACUCGCAGUCCAUCUUUGGACUGGCCACGAGAGCAGAGCAAGAGCAACCGUUGGAGGAGAAUGGACCUUUGACCGGUAGAGCGAGUUCCGGACAGCAGGAAAAACAUUUUCCGAACGAGGCUGAGAAAGAAAACGCACGGGACCCGGAACUCGUACCCGGAGAGAGAGAGAAACCAGUCCCGAGGGAUAGACAAGUGUCAAGGAUGAAGGAGGAAACUGGAGGGCAAGGGAGGCUGGCAACUCUUGAGCAUAAGGAAGAGGAUGCAACUGCAGAGAAACAGAGGCCAGUCCCAAAAGAGAGGACAAGGUUUCGCUCCAGUGCUCCAGUCCUAUCCAGUUCUCCACCCAGCUCCCUCACUCACCCAUUUUGCGACACCUCUUUGCCGCCGGUGCCCCCACGGAGUACUUUGAACUGCCCACCGCAACGUUUCACGUUGGCUUUGACGUACUCAGCCCCGGCACAGAACUCCACCUCACCUCAAGGCGCAGAAUCUGUCAUCAAGGAGGCAGCAUUUCGGGUUCACUCUACGCCCCACACCUUAACCCAGGACCCCACACAAGAAACUGUCCGCCAACCUCGGGCCCCCCACCCCCAAACUCAGCCUCAUUCGUUAUCCGUUGAUUUCCACGCCCAAGAUUCAAGAAGCGAUACGACGGCAACGUUGUCCCCCGUGACCGUCUCCGGUUCCCCCAAGGAAGAGAGAAACGCUCCACCUCUCCCUCCAAAAACUGGGUCAGCACCAAGAGGCCCACCAAAAAUUCCAAGUAGGCACCCUCUGCUGCCUUCCAGAAUUGAGAACCCCCCUCGUAGCAAGGCUGAUGAACUUCUUCAAGACCAAUCUCCAACCGUUCCACCUCGUAUCGUGACUUCUCAAACUCAAGAGGUCAUGCAGCAGUCGAGCCGACCUGCCCCCCAAGCGGCCCGGCCUCCUCCGGGUGUCCCCCACCUUCCUCCUCAGACAACGCUGUGCCCAGCAGAUGACGAUUCGGACGACUACGAAGAGGCCGACGCAUCUUACGCCAGCAUUCUUCCGGUGAACCCAUUAGACCGGGAAAUGUCCCUACAAGUGCCUCUUCAAGCAAAAGGCCGGUACAGUUCUUUAUGCAGCGAUGACGAGCUAUUAGGCGACGACGAGCCGAGCGUUUGGGAAGAACCGGGCCUGAGCGACCUGCAAGCGAGCAUCUUUCUGCCCAACGCUGGCAGACUGGCAUCAGCCCCGAAAGAAGGCAGCUCCCACCUCGCCGCCGUCAUCAAGAUGGGCUGGCUCGACAAGAACCCACCGCAAGGGGCCCUUUACUAUCAGAGGCGGUGGGUCAAGCUCGACGUUGACUACCUGCGAUACUUCGACAACGACAAGCAAGUCUAUUCCAAGGGAAUCAUUCCGACCGCAUCGAUAACGAACGUGACGAGCGUUGGGGAGCUGAAAUUUGAGGUCAUCACAAGCAAUCGGACGUUUAUCUUCAAGGCCGAAAGUGACGCUGAGAGAAAGGAGUGGGUGACUGUGCUGCAGGACUGCACAAGGGGGCGCCAGAGACGCAGUACCUUAAGCCCCGGUUCACCUUUGAUUCCGGAGUUCAAAGGCUAUUUGGAGCUCAAAGGUCUCCGCUCGAAACUUUAUACAGUUGUGACUUCAGAUAAGGUCUUCCUCUACAAAAACAUGGAGGACUACCGAGUUGGAGUGGGUAUCACGUCGAUCGAGAUGAAUGUCGGAAAUGUCAAAGUCACGGAUCGCCGCGGCUUUGAUCUCACCACGCCGUACCGGAUUUUCAGUUUCGUAGCAGAGUCCGAGCAGCUGAAAGAUCAGUGGGUGGACGCGAUGAGAGAAUCCAUCGAUGAGGCUUUGUCCAAUCGGGAGGUCGCUGAUCGAAUAUGGGCGGAGCCGAGCAACAGCUUCUGCGCCGACUGCGGCACCCCUAAACCGGAAUGGGCCGCCAUCAACCUGUGCGUGGUGGUCUGCAAGCGAUGCGCAGGAGAGCACCGAGGACUGGGCCCUAACAUCUCUAAGGUUCGGAGUCUGAAAAUGGACAGGAAAGUCUGGACCCAAGAGCUCAUACAGGUGUUCUCGUCGCUCGGCAACGACCGGGUCAACGGUUUCUGGGCGGCGAACGUCCCGCCGAGCGAGGCGCUCUCGCCUUCCAGCUGCAGUGACGACCGGCGGCGUUUCAUCACCAACAAGUACCGCCAUGGCAAAUACAGGAAGUACCACCCGUUAUACGGAAACCAGAAAGAGCUGAAUAACGCCUUGUGCAUAAACGUGCAGUGCAGCGAUGUGCUGGAGACGUUGAGCCUGAUUUUCUGCGGCGCCGACGUCAAUUGUUCAACGGGCAUGGCCAGUUGUCCCACGCCUCUCUCCUUAGCCAACACGCACGCGCAACCCUUGCAAGCUGUUUUACUGAGCCACAACCUGAACACGGCUCUUCCUCAGUCAGAGGUGGAGAGUGGGAUGGACGAAGUUCACUUUCCGGCCCCAACUUGUGUUUAUCACAACGGCUUCCUGUUCAAGACUGGAUCUAUGGCGAGGCCUGUCACAGAGCGCAAGGCCAGAGAGGAGUUCAGUCGACGCUGGUGUACACUUAAUGAGGGCACGUUCAGCUACUAUGAGAGUGACAAGAACUCCAAUCCGAAUGGCGCUCUGAGAGCCUCGGAGAUCGUUUGCUUGGCUGUGGAUGUACCGGACAAACACGGGUACGAACACACGUUUGAGCUCUACUCAGAGUCCGACCGUCUUUAUUUAUUCGGCACCGACGACCCGAACGGCCACAAAGAAUGGAUCAAGUCCAUUGCCAAGAGCGUCAUCCCAGCCAGAGCCGAGCCUCUGCUGAGGUUAAGUUUUGAGCGCAUCGGGCGGCUCAAAUGCAAGGACGGGCUGAACCUGCAGACCUCCAAGGUGGGCUGGUUCGCCCUGGUGGGCUCCACGCUUCACGCUUACCUGAACGACAGCCGGGAAGAAGAGAUACGCCUUCGCAAACUCAACGAACUCUCAAUCCAGCAAGAUAACGGAGUAUUAGUUUUGGUGGAGAGAGGAAGAACGCUGUACAUAGAGGGAGAGAGGAAGCUGGAUUUCGCCGGCUGGUGCGCCGCCAUCCAGUCGGCGGCGGGGAGCGGAGGCGACACGCUGAGUCAGCAGCAGCUGACCGACACGGACAUACCGGUCGUCGUCCACAGCUGCGUUGACUACAUCACGCAAUGCGGCUUAACGUCGGAGGGGAUCUACCGCAAGAGCGGCGUGAACUCGCGCGUGGCGGCGCUGUGCGAGCGCUUCCGCCGAGACGCUCGCAGCCUCCGGCUGAAGGAAGGCGAGCACCAGGUGGACGACGUCUCCAACACGCUCAAGCGCUUCUUCAGGGAGUUGGAAGAAGGCCUUUUCACGUCCGAAGACGGCGGCACCUGGCUCACGACCGCCGCCAUCCAGGAUGAAAGUGUGAAAAUCUCCCAGUACCAGAAGCUCUUGAACAAACUCCCUCGCGUCAACAGGGCGACGCUUCGGGCCCUGAUCAAUCACUUGUACUGUGUGCAGCGCUUCUCCGAGCUGAACCAAAUGAAUCUCCACAACUUGGCCAUCGUGUUCGGGCCGACGCUCUUCCAGACGGACGGGCAGGACUACACGGCGGGCCGUGCGAUCGAGGACCUCAUCCAGUACUACACGCUCGUCUUCGAGGUGGAUGAGCAACAAUUGAAAAAGCAGCUGGAAGAGAUCACGGUUAUUAUCCAAGUGCGCGAGAAAUUGAACACAAAAUUUCCCAGCACCGAACCCGGCGGGCAUUUCAUCUGCACAGUUUACUUGGAGGAAAAGAAGGACACCGCCGAACAACACGUCAAGAUCCCGGCGUCCAUGACGUCGGCGGAACUCACCUGUGAGAUUCUGGACAGACGCAACAUUCCCGUUAAAGACAAAGAGUACUGGAACUGCUGGGAGGUCGUUGACAAGGAAGAAAUGGAACGUCCGCUGCACUAUCGAGAGCGAGUCUUACCCAUCCUCCACUCUUUUGGCACCGACUCCCAUCUUCUCAUCAAGAAACACGUCGCUAUGGAAGCGAUGAUCAUCUACUUGGCCAGCAAGGUUGACCCGUCCAAACACGGCAUGAUGAAAUUCCGGGAGGAACGAAGCAUCCUGGGCUUGGGGUUGUCUUCCGGCAGUUUCCACGACCGCUAUUUCAUCCUGAACUCCAGCUCGCUGCGGAUGUACAAGGAAGUCCGAAGUAACCGUCCGGAACGGGACUGGCCCGUCAAGAACCUGAGGGUCUACUUGGGGAUCAAGAAGAAAGUCCGUCCCCCAACGUGUUGGGGCCUGACUGUGGUCUACGAGAGCAAAAAACAGGACAAGCCGGAGAGACAACAGUGGUAUCUCUGUUGUGAGACUCAACCCGAAAUGAGGGAGUGGUACGCAACUUUUCACAGUAUUCAGAACGACGGCGACGUGUGGCCACAGGACGGACUCCAGCCGAGCCGCGCCAGCCGCGCGCCGCCCGACUCGCGCCACGGUAACGUGUCGCUGAUACCGCUGCGCGGCAGCGAGAAUGAGAUGCGGAACAGCGUAGCAGCUUUCAGCCAAGAUCCGCUUGCUCUCUUUAGAGACGUUCGAUAAUGGAGGCUGCGGGAAAGAAAACAUCCGCAGCGGUUUUACCGGGUCCCCGCGGCUGCUUAUUCGGAGAUUUUGCCGACCGCCGUCGGAGAGAUCGAAGAUGAAAAGGCGCCCGGUUGUUAUUGCGCCGCAGCUGCUUGUCUGGAAACCGGAGUGCCCACCCGGAGGAAACCCACGCGAGCACGAGGAGAACAUGCAAACUCCACACAGGCGGGUCCGGGAUCGAACCCGGGACCUCAGAACUGUGAGGGCCGCUGUUCGGCGUCGUCAGGUGACCUCGCCGCCCUCCGGUGACGUCGUCGGCGCCUGGAUGCCGGCGGGGACCGGAGGGAGCAAAAAUGGAGCGAAAGUAAACGGACGAGAGGGCCAUGGUUCGAUUUCCCCCUCCCUGCACAGUUGAAAGUUUACAGUUUUGAUGUUUUUGAUCGCAUCACGGAACUAAAGAGUUCGAGCACAUCCCGAAGGAAACGUCAGUUCUUCUGGCGUAUUUGUUUUGAAGAAGGAUUUACCCAUUCCGUUUGAUUUUGUUGUUAUUGUUUUUAAAUACAUAAGACAAACGUACUGGUUACUGCAAUUCCGAACGCAAUCAUUGCUAUUGUACCCAAACCAUAAUGUGACGGCCGAGGCGGUCUCGGUUCGAAGGCCGCAUCGAGAUCGCCAUUUUAUUUUGAAGUCGCCUUCCUGUUUCACGUCCGUUUUUCAGCGAGUUUGUGAAAAGACUGCGCACCUGUGCGUCGGUCCCCUUGUGUCAAUUGUUCUUAUUUAUUUAGGCUGCCGAGGGUGUAAGAUGAAGAGUGCUGAAGUCAUUUUUUUUUUUUUUUUGCGUGUGCGGAGGGGGGAGUAAGAUUUUUGUAUUUUAUCCUUAGUCAUUACAAUGUCGUUACUAACUACAACGUACACAUCAUCGCCACACGUUUGUAAAAUAAAACAAAUGGAGGGCGUUUUGCCCGCGAAAGAAAUCAA